UGGGGAAUAUUGGGCAAUGGGGGAAACCCUGACCCAGCAACGCCGCGUGAAGGAAGAAGGCCUUCGGGUUGUAAACUUCUUUUAGCAGGGACGAAGGACGUGACGGUACCUGCAGAAAAAGCAACGGCUAACUACGUGCCAGCAGCCGCGGUAAUACGUAGGUUGCAAGCGUUGUCCGGAAUUACUGGGUGUAAAGGGCGUGUAGGCGGAGCUGCAAGUCAGAUGUGAAAUCCCGGGGCUCAACCCCGGAACUGCAUUUGAAACUGUAGCCCUUGAGUAUCGGAGAGGCAAGCGGAAUUCCUAGUGUAGCGGUGAAAUGCGUAGAUAUUAGGAGGAACACCAGUGGCGAAGGCGGCUUGCUGGACGACAACUGACGCUGAGGCGCGAAAGCGUGGGGAGCAAACAGGAUUAGAUACCCUGGUAGUCCACGCUGUAAACGAUGAAUACUAGGUGUGGGAGGACUGACCCCUUCCGUGCCGCAGUUAACACAAUAAGUAUUCCACCUGGGGAGUACGACCGCAAGGUUGAAACUCAAAGGAAUUGACGGGGGCCCGCACAAGCAGUGGAUUAUGUGGUUUAAUUCGACGCAACGCGAAGAACCUUACCAGGAUUUGACAUCCAACUAACGAAGUAGAGAUACAUUAGGUACCCUUCGGGGGAAGUUGAGACAGGUGGUGCAUGGUUGUCGUCAGCUCGUGUCGUGAGAUGUUGGGUUAAGUCCCGCAACGAGCGCAACCCCUAUUGUUAGUUGCUACGAAAGAGCACUCUAGCGAGACUGCCGUUGACAAAACGGAGGAAGGCGGAGACGACGUCAAAUCAUCAUGCCCCUUAUGUCCUGGGCUACACACGUAAUACAAUGGCGGUUAACAGAGGGAGGCAAAGCCGCGAGGCAGAGCAAAUCCCUAAAAGCCGUCUCAGUUCGGAUUGCAGGCUGCAACUCGCCUGCAUGAAGCUGGAAUUGCUAGUAAUCGCGGAUCAGAAUGCCGCGGUGAAUACGUUCCC
rnacentral:rRNA from 1 species